rnacentral:rRNA from 1 species
UGGGGGAAACCCUGAUGCAGCCAUGCCGCGUGUGUGAAGAAGGCCUUCGGGUUGUAAAGCACUUUCAGUAGGGAGGAAGGUAGUGUAGUUAACACCUGCACUAUUUGACGUUACCUACAGAAGAAGCACCGGCUAACUCCGUGCCAGCAGCCGCGGUAAUACGGAGGGUGCGAGCGUUAAUCGGAAUUACUGGGCGUAAAGCGCAUGCAGGCGGCCUGUUAAGUCAGAUGUGAAAGCCCGGGGCUUAACCUCGGAAUUGCAUUUGAAACUGGCAGGCUAGAGUCUUGUAGAGGGGGUAGAAUUUCAGGUGUAGCGGUGAAAUGCGUAGAGAUCUGAAGGAAUACCAGUGGCGAAGGCGGCCCCCUGGACAAAGACUGACGCUCAGAUGCGAAAGCGUGGGGAGCAAACAGGAUUAGAUACCCUGGUAG